CAACUUGUUUUUACUUUGCGUUGCUUUCUGGCUUCAGGGCUGAGACAAUCUGUUUUCUAGUUUGUCAAAUGCUGUGGUUGUUAAGGUCUUUUGUCAUGGUAGCUUUCACGAGUGCAGUUCCCGAAUAGUUUACAGUGUCUCUUGUGAUGAAGAUCGAUGUCUUGAGGUCCUCUAUGAAGGCUUUCAAACAUACACCAAAAGAUCUGACCUGAAGAAUUUUGAGCUCACAUGACUAGGUGCCGCAUGCUUUCUAUGUUUUUUCCGCUUUUGAGAAAAUCAAGGACAACGGCGGGGUGAAGCAAAGGAAAGACCCCUUGAGCUAAAAUUGAUUUAUAUUAAUCAUGUGUUACGAUUUUAGAAUCAAUGGAGCUCACUAAAUUUAAAAGGCGUAAGUGAAAUAACAAGGAAAUUCAGAAAACAAUGAAUUUCCGUCGGACGUGUUGAAUACUUUGAUUAAUGAGUUUAUAUAUAUAUAUAUAUAUAUAUAUAAUUUAACUUUAAAGGUAGUACUAACUAGUCCAAUUACAAGUAUUAUUCAAUGUUUUAAUACUGUUUCCAUGCUUCGUUUUUAAUUACAAUUAAAGAUAUUGUAAUUAAAGGAAUGUUAUAAAGAAAAUAAAACUGAAUUAAUCAGAU